GGCUGGUCUGAAUGCAGUGAUUUACAACUAAUUGAUCACAACAAGUUACAGAUAUCUUUUUUCAUUCUCCACUGCCCCUGCUUUACUUGACCAACCUUAA
rnacentral:Y_RNA from 1 species